rnacentral:rRNA from 1 species
GACGAACGCUGGCGGCGUGCUUAACACAUGCAAGUCGAACGGAGUGGCGAACGGGUGCGUAACACGUGGGUGAUCUGCCUUGCACUUCGGGAUAAGCUUGGGAAACUGGGUCUAAUACCGGAUAGUGCAAGAUGAGCUCGCGGCCUAUCAGCUUGUUGGUGGGGUAAUGGCCUACCAAGGCGUCGACGGGUAGCCGGCCUGAGAGGGUGUACGGCCACAUGAGGACUAAGGUACGGCGCAGACGGCUACGGGAGGCAGCGGUGGAGAAUAUUGCCGAGUGGGCGGGAGCGUGAGGCGGAGACGCCGGGUGGGGGAUGAAGGGCUGCGGGUUGUAAACUACUUUCGACAGGGACGCGGUACCUGAAUAGGAAGCACCGGCUAACUACGUGCCAGCAGCCGCGGUAAUAC